UACGGAGGGUGCAAGCGUUAUCCGGAUUUACUGGGUUUAAAGGGUGCGUAGGUGGGUUGGUAAGUCAGUGGUGAAAUCUCCGGGCUUAACUCGGAAACUGCCAUUGAUACUAUCAAUCUUGAAUUAUCUGGAGGUAAGCGGAAUAUGUCAUGUAGCGGUGAAAUGCUUAGAUAUGACAUAGAACACCCAUUGCGAAGGCAGCUUACUACGGAUACAUUGACACUGAUG
rnacentral:rRNA from 1 species